CUUGCUCUCGCAGAGCGGCUCGGAGAAUUUCAUUGUCAUUUUUGUCCUUUGUUCUCCUCUCCCCACAGCCUCUGUAGAGUAACACGCCAGUAAUUAAGGUUUAUGUGCAAGACUGUCACCUCAGUAACUGGUGGCAGUGAGCAGUCUCCAUGUCCGUGCUCAUGCCCUGGAAGAACUGCUGGAUGCAGACCUUGGCAAAGCUCCUGGCAUGCUCGGUGCAGGUCUCGUCGAACAGCUUGCGCUCGAUGUCGAUGUAGUGGGACCAGUACCUGCUCUUCAGGAAGGCGGCUUGGGUGAAGCAGGGCCGGAGGGAUCUGACCAAGAAAGCCAGUGUGGUCAUCAGCAGCAUGAAGCACCAGCCCAGGGCCUGCAGGGGUGAGGGGUGAGACCAGAGCCAUCAUGGGCAGACCACAAAGACAUUCUUUUCC